rnacentral:lncRNA from 1 species
UUGCAUGUCAAACCGAGAUGUGCUUGUCGACAAGCUUCAGGAGUAUAACUUAGCAGCCCCUAGCAAAACUUUGUCUAUGUAAAUCAAACACAAAUUAGGCAUUCUGGAAAUUAAGAAUAAAAGUUAGUUACAUUACAGUUUACUACAUGUAUGAUCCACAAGGGAAUGGCUGAUGGCUCAUUUGGUACUUGCUUUUCCAUUUGCAAUUCUCCAAUGCAAUUAGGCUUUUGCAGGCUCCUCAAAAACAA